UACGUAGGGCGCAAGCGUUGUCCGGAAUUAUUGGGCGUAAAGAGCUCGUAGGCGGCUUGUCGCGUCGACUGUGAAAUCCCGCGGCUCAACUGCGGGUCUGCAGUCGAUACGGGCAGGCUAGAGUUCGGUAGGGGAGACUGGAAUUCCUGGUGUAGCGGUGAAAUGCGCAGAUAUCAGGAGGAACACCGAUGGCGAAGGCGGGUCUCUGGGCCGAUACUGACGCUGAGGAGCGAAAGCGUGGGGAGCGAACAGG
rnacentral:rRNA from 1 species